GACGAACGCUGGCGGCGUGCUUAACACAUGCAAGUCGAACGGAAAGGCCUUUUCGGAGGUACUCGAGUGGCGAACGGGUGAGUAACACGUGGGUGAUCUGCCCUGCACUCUGGGAUAAGCCUGGGAAACUGGGUCUAAUACCGGAUAGGACCGCACUUUAGUGUGUGUGGUGGAAAGUUUUUUCGGUGUAGGAUGAGCCCGCGGCCUAUCAGCUUGUUGGUGGGGUAAUGGCCUACCAAGGCGGCGACGGGUAGCCGGACUGAGAGGUUGGUCGGCCACAUUGGGACUGAGAUACGGCCCAGACUCCUACGGGAGGCAGCAGUGGGGAAUAUUGCACAAUGGGCGCAAGCCUGAUGCAGCGACGCCGCGUGGGGGAUGACGGCCUUCGGGUUGUAAACUCCUUUCGCCAGGGACGAAGCGUUUUGUUACGGUACCUGGAGAAGAAGCACCGGCUAACUACGUG
rnacentral:rRNA from 1 species